UACGGAGGGAGCUAGCGUUAUUCGGAAUUACUGGGCGUAAAGCGCACGUAGGCGGCUUUGUAAGUAAGAGGUGAAAGCCCAGAGCUCAACUCUGGAAUUGCCUUUUAGACUGCAUCGCUUGAAUCAUGGAGAGGUCAGUGGAAUUCCGAGUGUAAAGGUGAAAUUCGUAGAUAUUCGGAAGAACACCAGUGGCGAAGGCGGCUGACUGGACAUGUAUUGACGCUGAGGUGCGAAAGCGUGGGGAGCAAACAGG
rnacentral:rRNA from 1 species